UUGCUCAACCUAACCUAUAAAACUGUGUUGAUAUUUUAUAGUUUGAUACUAACAUCAAAACUUUGGAGGCACAAAUGUUAUAAAGGCAAGGCCAGUAUUCUACUAUAGUCAAGGGUAUCUACAUACCCGGUCGUUGGAGUAACUAUGACGUCGACCGUCUUGAAGAUCUCCAUGUGAUAGUACAUCACCCUGCGCCUGCAAUUGCAAUCAACCAUGUUAUAUAUCUAAACUUGACUCUAAUUGGAAAAAAAAAACGAAGAAAAGCUCAAGACCU
rnacentral:lncRNA from 1 species